rnacentral:piRNA from 1 species
UGGCGUGAUCAUUGAAGUGAAUGCA